GAUGAACGCUGGCGGCGUGCCUAAUACAUGCAAGUCGAGCGAACAGACGAGGCGCUUGCUCCUCUGACGUUAGCGGCGGACGUGUGAGUAACACGUGGAUAACCCACCUAUAAUACUGGGAUAACUUCGGGAAUCCGGCGCUAAUACCGUAUAAUAUAUUGAACCGUAUGGUUCGAUAGUGAAAGACGGUUUUUGUGUCACUUAUAGAGGCAUCCGCGCCGCAUUAGCUAGUUGGUGAGUUAACGGCUUACCACGGCGACGAUGCGUAGACGACCUGAGAGAGUGAUAGCCCACACUGGAGCUGGACCACGGUCCAGAGUCCUGCGGGAGGCACCAGUAGGGAAUCUUCCGCAGUGGGGGAAAGCCUGACGGAACAACGCCGCGCGUGUGAUGGCAGUCUUGGGAGCGUAAAGAUGUGUUAUUGGGGAUGAACCAAUUUGUAAGUAGAUAUACACGGAUUGACGGUAAUUAGUAAGAAAGCAACGGCUAACUACGUG
rnacentral:rRNA from 1 species